GUGCUUGCUUCAGCAGCACAUAUACUAAAAUUGGAACAAUACAGAGAAGAUUAGCACGGCCCCUGCGCAAGGAUGACACGCAAAUUUGUGAAGCGUUCCAUAUUUUU
ensembl:snRNA U6 U6 spliceosomal RNA